rnacentral:tRNA from 1 species
GACCGCUUAGCUCAACGGUAGAGUGUCUGGUUUACAUCCAGAAGGUUGGUGGUUCAAAUCCACCAGCGGUCACCA